rnacentral:rRNA from 1 species
GCUUAACACAUGCAAGUCGAACGGAAAGGCCCUGCUUGCGGGGUACUCGAGUGGCGAACGGGUGAGUAACACGUGGGUGAUCUGCCCUGCACUUCGGGAUAAGCUUGGGAAACUGGGUCUAAUACCGGAUAGGACCGCACUUUAGUGUGUGUGGUGGAAAGUUUUUUCGGUGUAGGAUGAGCUCGCGGCCUAUCAGCUUGUUGGUGGGGUAAUGGCCUACCAAGGCGUCGACGGGUAGCCGGCCUGAGAGGGUGUACGGCCACAUUGGGACUGAGAUACGGCCCAGACUCCUACGGGAGGCAGCAGUGGGGAAUAUUGCACAAUGGGCGCAAGCCUGAUGCAGCGACGCCGCGUGGGGGAUGAAGGCCUUCGGGUUGUAAACUCCUUUCGCUAGGGACGAAGCUUUUGUGACGGUACCUAGAUAAGAAGCACCGGCUAACUACGUGCCAGCAGCCGCGGUAAUACGUAGGGUGCGAGCGUUGUCCGGAAUUACUGGGCGUAAAGGGCUCGUAGGUGGUUUGUCGCGUCGUCUGUGAAAUUCUGGGGCUUAACUCCGGGCGUGCAGGCGAUACGGGCAUAACUUGAGUGCUGUAGGGGUAACUGGAAUUCCUGGUGUAGCGGUGAAAUGCGCAGAUAUCAGGAGGAACACCGAUGGCGAAGGCAGGUUACUGGGCAGUUACUGACGCUGAGGAGCGAAAGCAUGGGUAGCGAACAGGAUUAGAUACCCUGGUAGUCCAUGCUGUAAACGGUGGGCGCUAGGUGUGAGGGUUUUUCUACGAUUCUCGUGCCGUAGCUAACGCAUUAAGCGCCCCGCCUGGGGAGUACUGCCGCAAGGCUAAAACUCAAAUGAAUUGACGG